ACAAGCGGUGGAUCAUGUUGUUUAAUUUCGAUGAUACGCGAAGAACCUUACCAGGUCUUGACAUCCCCGCGAUGCCUUAGAGAUAAAGCGGAGGUAUUCGGGGAGACAGGUGGUGCAUGGUUGUCGUCAGCUCGUGUCGUGAGAUGUUGGGUUAAGUCCCGCAACGAGCGCAACCCUAUUGCUAGUUACCAUCAUUAAGUUGGGGGCUCUAGCGAGACUGCCAGUGAUAAACUGGAGGAAGGUGGGGAUGACGUCAAAUCAUCAUGCCCCUUAUGACCUGGGCUACAAACGUGAUACAAUGGCUGGAACAAAGGGAUGCGAAGCAGUGAUGUGGAGCGAAACCCAUAAAAACAGUCUCAGUUCGGAUUGAAGUCUGCAACUCGACUUCAUGAAGUCGGAAUCGCUAGUAAUCGCGGAUCAGAACGCCGCGGUGAAUACGUUCUCGGGGUUU
rnacentral:rRNA from 1 species